rnacentral:rRNA from 1 species
CCCUAUGGGGUGCACCAGGUUGCUAUAACGUAGAUAAUAUUAAAAUUGACAGUAUUUCUGCUCUCACCAACAAUACGUUUACCAGUGCUAAUCGAGGAUUUGGAGCUAAUCAGGUAAAUUUUGCUUCUGAGCUCCAGAUGGACGAGGCAGCAGCCCGGCUUGGUAUAUCUCCUUUGGAAAUUAGGCUAAAAAAUUGUCUCAGGAAUGGAGACGAGUUGUGUACCGGGUUUAUCCCUCAAGGUCAUAUUGCUUUAGAGGAAAUAGCCAAAAAGGCUUGGGAUGCUUUAGAAAAAACAGGCCCGAAACAGGAAUAUAUUGACGGCAAGAAGAUCGGCCGUGGUUUGGCCAUCGGUAUGAUGAGCUAUGGCAGGUUGUGUUUUCUCCAUGAUUCUUCCCGGGUAGGUAUUAGAAUUGAGCUGGAUGGAAGUGUUACUCUUCGGGCAGGAGUUCCUGAUUUAGGCGGGAGGGC